GUGUGUUUCUGGCUCAGAGCCUGUCAGGAAAUUCAUGUCUGGGAAGAAACUAAGUGUUCUGGUGAUGGCUACAGUCAGUAGAUCUACCAGCAAUUUGUCCCUUUUUUUGUUUCAGAUUUUAAGGCAGAAACUCAAUCUCAGCAGCUAAUUUCAUCCAAUUUUCUUCAGAAACAUUCUCCAAUUUAGUUGAGUACGCAAGAAAAGUGUGUGAACAUUCACUCCUGUCCUCCCCACAUACAUAUAUAGACAUAC
rnacentral:lncRNA from 1 species